rnacentral:misc_RNA from 1 species
UUGAAUGAAACCACUGGCUAGAUGCUGUUGUGCUGGCCCUUUUGGGGCAAUGUGCACACCUCUGGUCAUUUGUUUCUUCUGUUCCACCUGUGCACUGCCUGUAGACACUCUGUGUCUAUGAUAAUGUUACACACACACACAUGUAAUACAAGACUAUAUACUAAUAAUAAAGUAAUA